UACGUAGGGGGCAAGCGUUGUCCGGAAUCAUUGGGCGUAAAGCGCGUGUAGGCGGCUCGGUAAGUCUGCUGUGAAAGUCCAGGGCUCAACCCUGGAAUGCCGGUGGAUACUGUCGAGCUCGAGUCCGGAAGAGGCGAGUGGAAUUCCUGGUGUAGCGGUGAAAUGCGCAGAUAUCAGGAGGAACACCAAUGGCGAAGGCAGCUCGCUGGGACGGUACUGACGCUGAGACGCGAAAGCGUGGGGAGCAAACAGG
rnacentral:rRNA from 1 species